GAGUAGAUUCGACGGUAUGCCAGUAGCGUAUAGAAGUUCUACGAACCUUCUUUCAUGAUGUGGCUUUUUGUUAUGUCGAGAUUUGCUUGGUGUUCAGUGUACCUAAUGCAUUUCCCAAGCUCAAAAGAGUAUAACUAAACGAGCUGCUAACUAAAAAAAGAAUAAAAGAAGGAAGGUAGUUUUCCUAGUGCCUUCGUGACAGGCUCUACAGGGCUCAUUAGACUUAGGGAAUCGACUUUCAAUACUUAGCCGAUAUGGAAUUUUCAUGCUUACCCUAUAUCUGAGUGAAUGUCCUUUAGGGAAGGAUAGAAUGACCCUUUUUCACCUGAGAUAUCUAAGGAAACUGGAUACAUUUCUUUUCCUAUAACCUUUCAAUAGCUGUUUGAGCUUUCCUGUCCUUUGAAUUUGCCUUCAAAAGGCGCAAUUUCAUCCCCGUUACAUCUCUCUUUCAUCCCUGUACUUUCAACUACUGGAAUGGUGUGGAACCCAAGCUAACUAUCCACCUGAAUGGAAAGACAGAAUUCCUUAUUGACUACAUCCUUCUUUGCUAAGCAAAUCCCUUGACCAGGUCGAAGCAGCAGCGUCUCUAACCGGACAUGAGGGAUAUCAUUUCUAAGGUUUCGG
rnacentral:misc_RNA from 1 species